UCCCUUUAUCCCUUUCUGUCCUCUCCUUCACGACACGUUCGAGCACCAGCACCGCCUGACCCCACCGCUGAGCAGCCACAAGGAGCAGCGACAGGCCGGAGGAGCAAGGCGCGCGGCCAGCUGCUGCCGAUUCCGCCGGUGUUCGUCCUCGAAUCAACAUCGCACACACGAGUUGGCAACUUCCUGCGCUGGCAGCCGGCCCGUGCAGCGCCAUUGGGGGCGGGCGGCUGGCACAGCAGUCCGCAGGGGCGGAUCCAGAACGGGGCUGUGCCCCGGGCUGAGCUGUUGAAUCACACCUAAAAUAGUCUAAUUUUGUCUCCUAAGCUUCAUUUUAUUAAGCUAAACAGCACAUAGGUUAAAGGGACUCCAUGAUCUCGCCCCGGGCUACAGCCCGGGCAGCCCGGGCCCUGGAUCCGCCCCUGGCAGUCCGCGAGCGGGGAGCCGGCAGGGCGGAGGCUUGCUCGUGCUUGCUCGCCGCUGGGCCGCUCGCUCCGGGCACCAAGGACGGCUUUGGUCUGGGGAUGGAGUUUAUCUCGUGCCUCGACAGCGCAAGCUAGGCGCCUCGCAGGGAGCCACGGGACAGAUUCAGGGAGAAGCAACAACCCGUGACUUGAUUUUUUUUACACUUGAUUUUUAGAUUAAGAUCGUGUAUUUGUUUGUUUGAUCUGUGUAAAUAGAGCAAAAUUGCCAUCGAUGAUUGGUUAUUGCGUGUAUUUUUACUAUUGAAAUAAAGACAUCAUGUUUGCUCU